rnacentral:snRNA from 1 species
UUGAGUCAACAGAAGUAA